UACAGAGGUCCCAAGCGUUGUUCGGAUUCACUGGGCGUAAAGGGUGCGUAGGUGGUUGUGCAAGUCUGAUGUGAAAUCUCCGGGCUUAACCCGGAAAUGGCAUUGGAAACUGCAUGGCUAGAGGGUUGGAGGGGGGACUGGAAUACUUGGUGUAGCAGUGAAGUGCGUAGAUAUCAAGUGGAACACCAGUGGCGAAGGCGAGUCCCUGGACAACACCUGACACUGAGGCACGAAAGCUAGGGGAGCAAACAGG
rnacentral:rRNA from 1 species